rnacentral:lncRNA from 1 species
UAUAUCUUGUUUUAUCAACAGGAAGUUUCAAGCUCUACAAAAAUACCAUUUUAUGUCAUUUGAGAAAUAUUCAACAAAUUUUCUAAUUUGUUUUGUUUUUCAUGACAAAAUUGGGUUGAAGUUUAUAUAAACAUUGUUCACUUUUGCCAUUCAGGAGUUUUAGUUCUUGAUUGGAUUAAAAAUGACACCUUAUGUUGUUUCCAUGCCAUAUCUUGGGAACUGUUUAACAACUUUUAAGAUAAAAAUAAAUUGUUUCUGAUGACAUAAGAUUGAUUUUGACGUAUUUAAAAUUAUGCUUGACAGGAGUCAUGGUCAUUGGUUGCUUUACUUAUAUACUUAUAUAUAUACUUAGUAAAACCUUGUAUAACCUCAAGUCAUUUGACAGCCUCAUGUCUUAUUUGGAGGUCCAGAUUUAUAAGAUUUCUUUUAUUUGAAAUAAAGUAGCAAGCUGGCA